rnacentral:misc_RNA from 1 species
UUUCCGUAGGUGAACCUGCGGAAGGAUCAUUAUUGAAUGAACUUGGCAUGAUUGUAGCUGGUCCUCUCGAGGGCAUGUGCACAUCUGUCAUCUUUAUCUUUCCACCUGUGCACCAAUUGUAGGUCUAAAAAAUUUUCCCCGAGACACUCGGGGGAGCAUGGGGCGUUGCUGUGUGUUACCACCAGCUUGCCCUGCAUUUUCUAGAUCUAUGUUUUCACAUACACCAUAAAAUGUAAUAGAAUGUUAUUAUUGGGCUUUUAUUGCCUAUAAACUAUAUACAACUUUCAGCAACGGAUCUCUUGGCUCUC